rnacentral:rRNA from 1 species
AUACGGGGGGUGCGAGCGUUAUUCGGAAUUACAGGGCGUAAAGAGCGCGUAGGCGGUCUUUUAAGUCAGGUGUGAAAGCCCGGGGCUCAACCCCGGAAGUGCACUUGAAACUAAGAGACUUGAGUAUGGGAGAGGGAAGUGGAAUUCCUGGUGUAGCGGUGAAAUGCGUAGAUAUCAGGAGGAACAUCAGUGGCGAGGGCGACUUCCUGGACCAAUACUGACGCUGAGGCGCGAAGGCGUGGGGAGCAAACAGGAUUAGAUACCCCAGUAGUCC